CAGUGUCCUCCCUCCCUUGCAAAGACAAACUUAAAAGUACAUUCUUCACAUUCUCCUUUGUCAAAUGCCCAGUAUUUCAUGUCUUGCCUCGCUGCUAAAUAUAAAAGCUAAGUACAUUUUUUCUUAAACUUUAGGAACCCCCUCCCUUGUCAAAUGUUACAGUUUAAAGUCUGCAUGGCCUCUUUUUAAUUUACUUUAACACUGGUUACAUCAUCAAGUGUGAAUUAGUGUCAAUUUUUGCUGCCUUCAGAUAUUCUCAUUUACUUCAAGUCUUUUUUUCCUCAGACGUCAGGAUACUGGCAACCAUCCCUGUGAGGACCCUUGGGGGAAUGUACACAUAAACAACAGCACCUUCUCGCUCUCACUAAAUAUCUGCACACCUACGGAGCGCUGGCGCCGGGCUGAAGACUGCAGAUGCCAUGAAGCUGCACCUGCCUCAGGCCUGAAAAUAACCCAUUCUACACACCGGUGUCAGAUCCACAGUCCUCACAGACUGCUCCAACUAACGUCUUCCCCUGCUCAGGAACCUUCAAAGGCUCCUAAAUAAAACCUCCUCCACGUGGCAUGCGUGUGAGCCUUUACAUACCUGUGUUACAAUAAAAAAUACCCUAAACAAAG